UAUUAUUAGUUUAUAUAGUAUAUACACUUAUUAAGCCGAGGCAAAAUUUCAUAUUUCUUUACAUAGAAUUCAGCAUAAGAAUGGGCUUCUUCUCUUGAUGAAUUGGCUACGCUAAGUACCCAAUUAUGAUAGACUAUCUUAUACAUUAUACAUAUGCGUUUGAGUGUGCGUAUAUAUAUAUCAGUGUACAUAUAAGUUAAUAACUGAUAAACUGAUAAUAAGUGUUUAUAUGCUCAUAUAUAUCAGUGUAUAUGUAAUAUAUGUAUGAACUUAUCAAUGCAUAAGGAUGCAUAUGCGUGUGCAUAUCAGGGUAUAUGUAACAGAUAACAAGUGUGUACAUACACGCAUAAAUAUAUCGAUAUAUACAUAUCGUAUAUAUAAAUACUAUAUAUGUUAAUGACAGUAAGUGUUUACAUACACGCAUGAAUGUAUCAGUAUAUAUAUAUAGUAUAUUAAACACUGUAUAUAUAUACAUAUAAACUGCUAAUAAGUAUCUAUAUUAUCAUAUAUAUCAGUGUAUAUAAAAUGCAUGUAUAUACAUACUUACAUACACAAUAUAUAUUUACUAAUCAACGCGUAAGGGUGCAUCUACGUGAGCAUAUCAGUAUAUAUAUAUACAUGUAUAAUUGUAUAUAACUGAUAGCGAGUAAGUGUAUACGUACACGCAUAAAUAUAUAGUAAAUAUACCUACAUCAGUCCAUACACAACAUGC
rnacentral:lncRNA from 1 species